rnacentral:rRNA from 1 species
CCUACGGGUGGCACCAGUGGGGAAUAUUGCACAAUGGACGAAAGUCUGAUGCAGCAACGCCGCGUGGAGGAUGACACAUUUCGGUGCGUAAACUCCUUUUAUAUGAGAAGAUAAUGACGGUAUUAUAUGAAUAAGCACCGGCUAACUCCGUGCCAGCAGCCGCGGUAAUACGGGGGGUGCAAGCGUUACUCGGAAUCACUGGGCGUAAAGAGCAUGUAGGCGGAUUGAUAAGUUUGAAGUGAAAUCCUAUAGCUUAACUAUAGAACUGCUUUGAAAACUGUUAAUCUAGAAUGUGGGAGAGGUAGAUGGAAUUUCUGGUGUAGGGGUAAAAUCCGUAGAGAUCAGAAGGAAUACCGAUUGCGAAGGCGAUCUACUGGAACAUUAUUGACGCUGAGAUGCGAAAGCGUGGGGAGCAAACAGGAUUAGAUACCCUAGUAGUC